rnacentral:rRNA from 1 species
GUGGGGAAUUUUGGACAAUGGGCGCAAGCCUGAUCCAGCAAUGCCGCGUGCAGGAAGAAGGCCUUCGGGUUGUAAACUGCUUUUGUACGGAACGAAAAGGUCUGGGUUAAUACCCUGGGCUCAUGACGGUACCGUAAGAAUAAGCACCGGCUAACUACGUGCCAGCAGCCGCGGUAAUACGUAGGGUGCGAGCGUUAAUCGGAAUUACUGGGCGUAAAGCGUGCGCAGGCGGUUUUGUAAGACAGGCGUGAAAUCCCCGGGCUCAACCUGGGAAUGGCACUGGUGACUGCAAAGCUGGAGUGCGGCAGAGGGGGAUGGAAUUCCGCGUGUAGCAGUGAAAUGCGUAGAUAUGCGGAGGAACACCGAUGGCGAAGGCAAUCCCCUGGGCCUGCACUGACGCUCAUGCACGAAAGCGUGGGGAGCAAACAGGAUUAGAUACCCUGGUAGUCC